CGUGCCUGUGUCUUCAAAUGUGUGCGUUAUGCAUUAGCAGCUUGUCAGUCUCAAAUUCCUCAGCAGCUCGGUUUGGCAGGGACAGCUCGCUCUGGUCUGUAGCUCUGCAUUCCGAAUGGACCUGAGCCCUCGGACCAUGGCUUAGAACUACCUGUCCUGAUGACUCCUUGCUGUCCCCAGUCCACCUGGUCAUGCUGCUGCUCCAGUUUCAACUGUUCUGCCUGUGGCUAUGGAACCUUGACCUGUUCACUGGACGUGCUACCUUGUCCAGGACCUGCUGUUUUGGACACUCUCUCUACCGCACAUGCUGUCUCUAACUCUGAAUGAUCGGCUAUGAAAAGCCAACUGACAUUUACUCCUGAGGUGCUGACCUGUUGCACCCUCUACACCCACUGUGAUUAUUAUUAUCUGAUCCUGCUGGUCAUCUAUGAACAUUUGAACAUCUUGGCCAUGUUCUGUUAUAAUCUCCACCCUGCACAGCCAGAAGAGGACUGGCCAGAGCCUGGACUCAGAGCCUGGUUCCCCUCUAGGUUUCUUCCUAAGUUCUGGCCUUUCUAGGGAGUUUUUCCUAGCCACCAUGCUUCAACAUCUGCAUUGCUUGCUGUUUGGGGUUUUAGGCUGGGUUUCUGUACAGCACAAAAGGGCUUUAGAAAUAAGUUGCAAUCGGGAUUCAAACUGGCAACCAUGCGGGUCGCAACCCAUGUGUAACGCCC
rnacentral:lncRNA from 1 species